UACGGAGGGUGCAAGCGUUAUCCGGAUUUACUGGGUUUAAAGGGUGCGCAGGCGGAUAUGUAAGUCAGUGGUGAAAUCUCCGGGCUUAACCCGGAACUGCCGUUGAUACUAUAUAUCUUGAAUGCCGUGGAGGUAAGCGGAAUAUGUCAUGUAGCGGUGAAAUGCUUAGAUAAUGACAUAGAACACCAAUUGCGAAGGCAGCUUACUUCACGAUCAUUGACACUGAGGCACGAAAUGCGUGGGGAGCAAACAGGAAUAGAAACCC
rnacentral:rRNA from 1 species